rnacentral:rRNA from 1 species
AUUGAACGCUGGCGGCAUGCCUUACACAUGCAAGUCGAACGGUAACAGGUUAAGCUGACGAGUGGCGAACGGGUGAGUAAUGUAUCGGAACGUGCCCAGUUGUGGGGGAUAACUGCUCGAAAGAGCAGCUAAUACCGCAUACGACCUGUGGGUGAAAGCGGGGGAUCGCAAGACCUCGCGCAAUUGGAGCGGCCGAUAUCAGAUUAGGUAGUUGGUGGGGUAAAGGCUCACCAGGCCGACGAUCUGUAGCUGGUCUGAGAGGACGACCAGCCACACUGGGACUGAGACACGACCCAGACUCCUACGGGAGGCAGCAGUGGGGAAUUUUGGACAAUGGGCGCAAGCCUGAUCCAGCCAUGCCGCGUGCGGGAAGAAGGCCUUCGGGUUGUAAACCGCUUUUGUCAGGGAAGAAACGCUCUGGGUUAAUACCCUGGGGUAAUGACGGUACCUGAAGAAUAAGCACCGGCUAACUACGUGCCAGCCGCCGCAGUAA